rnacentral:rRNA from 1 species
CAAGGAAUAUUGUGCAAUGGGCGAAAGCCUGACACAGCGACRCCGCGUGGGGGAAGAAGGCCUUCGGGUUGUAAACCCCUUUUCUCAGGGAAGAAUAAUGACGGUACCUGGGGAAKAAGUCACGGCUAACUACGUGCCAGCAGCCGCGGUAAUACGUAGGUGGCRAGCGUUAUCCGGAUUUACUGGGUGUAAAGAGGGUGUCAGGCGGCUUUUCAAGUCGAAUAUAAAAUCUCCCGGCUCAACUGGGAGGGUAGCUAUUCGAUACUGUUGGGCUAGAGUAGCAGCAGGGGGAGGUGGAAUUCCCGGUGUAGUGGUGAAAUGCGUAGAUAUCGGGAGGAACACUCAGUGGCGAAGGCGGCCUCCUGGGCUGUMUGCUGACGCUGAGGCCCGAAAGCGUGGGGAGCAAACAGGAUUAGAUACCCUGGUAGUCCACGCUAUAAACUAUGGAYACUMGGUAUAGGGAGUAUCGACCCUCUCUGUGCCGAAGUA